UGUUUUUCUUUGGAGAGGGUACAAUUCUUUGCUGUGAGGGACUGUCUUGUUCAGUGCAGGGCACUCAGAGCUCCUAGGCUGUGGGCCCUAAAAGCCAGGCGUGGUUUCUGGUCACUGGAACAGUGCAAAUCUCCCUCCCCUGGCUGCCCAUUUCCAAACACUAAAUGCACUACUCCAAUUCCUCUUUUCACAGAUGGAGAAACUGAGGCCCGGCAGAGCACUCAUAGUGAGUGGGUGACUGAGUAGACGCCCAGAUGCAGGUGUCCUGAGCCCGGUCCUGUGCCCUGGGCACUGGGUCAUGCUGCAGGCUGGCACAGGAGGGGCCAGCCUUGUGGGCUGCUCACCACAACAUUUAUGGGGAUUUGCCAUUCAUGGGUGCUAGGCACUGCCGUAUCAGCCCCCCGGAGCUGGCUUUUGGGUGUAUCCGAUCCGUUGGUGCUAUGCGUCCUUGCUCACAUAGGCCUGGAACAACUUCCAGAACAACAAACAUGGGGCCCAGAGCCACUCACCUGAUGCCCUCUGGCCACAUCCUCACGAAGCCUGCUUUGUGGAGGGGAGAUGAGGUGGAGGAGGUGGCCAGGACCUCACCGAGGAGGGCAAGGAGCCCUGGUCAGCCUGAGGACACCAUUUGGACAGCAAGACCCCCGCCUGGUCCUGUUCAGACAGGCAUUCUGCAUUUGGAAUCUUGUGGGAAAUCUCAUGGUUGUGAAAGGCUCACCGCUGGGGCACCACACUAAGGACUUUGCACAUGUCACCGCACGCAGUCCUUAAAGCUGCCUGUGAGAAAAGGAUUGUUCUUCCUCUUCACUGUAUGGGAAAAUGGAGACACAGAGAAGUGAGGCCACCUGCCGCGCGUCAUAGGACCACUAAGGUGUGGACCCGGGACGUGAAUCUGGGUCUAUCUGAUUGGAAAGCCUCGAUGAACUCCAGUGAUUUGCAGAAACAGAUGGCCAUUGUGUUCCAACACCCUGUUGGGCUAAAUGCUUCCUUUGAAGAUGGAAGAUUGCACAGAUUGCUUUUCUCAUUCAGAUUUUAUGCCUGAGUAAAAUCCUUGUGCUAUGA